rnacentral:lncRNA from 10 species
AUACAGAAGUAGCAAGGGCAAGAGGAACAAGAGAGGUUCAAAGGCACCAAGUGCAGAGGCAGUGGGUGGGGAGACCCAGGCAUGGAAGCCAGUGUUUCACUGUGAAUACUUGGAAAGUCCCUGGCUGGCUCCAAACAGUAGAAUAUGGCUGGAUUCUAGAGUCUGUUGUCAGAAUAAUGAGAAUUAAUACGGAAGCUCAUUUUCAGACUUAUCAUUAGUUAUGAGAUGAUGGAGGGUUAAGGAAACCACAGUAAGAGGAAGAGAUUCUAAGGCUAGCUUCUUAGGACCCCACCCCAUCCCUAAAUUUUCAGAUGGGAGAGAGAGGAGUGUUAUGCAUCUCUGUAUCAUUCUUUUUUGGAGCUGAGAGAGACAGAAAGGAGAGGGGAGGGGAGGGAAGGGGAGGAAGAGAUGAAGAGGGAGAGGGGAGGGGAGGGAAGGGGAGGAAGAGAUGAAGAGGGAGAGAUGGAGAGGGAGAGAUGGAGAAGGAGAGAGGGGGAGGGAGGGAGGGGAGGGAGAGGAGGAGAGAGAGAAGAGAAAGGGAGAGAGAGUGGGGAGAGAGGGAGAAUAAGUAUAAAUCAUCAAUUAAUCUGUGGAUGUCUGAUUGUCCACCUUCUGGAUUAUUUCAGACACUGAAAUUUGUGAAUAAUGAUAAGCAGGGCCUGGAUCAGGAGAGCACUUCAAAAGAUAAGGACUUGUACAUAGGAUGUUAAAGCCUGCUAAACAGGUCCUCACAGGCCCACCUUUUACUGCUUCCUCUUGAAAUAAGCCUCUUCUGCCCUUCCCACCCUGUCAUUACCACUGUCCCCAAUACCACAAAGUGGAGGAUUGUGGAAAUCCCUUAAGAAAAAGAAAAGAAGCUCAUUGUCUACAUCAGAAAUUCUCUGUAACUCCCAUCCUCCCACUUCCUCAUGCUGCCUGACUGCCUUCCUUAUCACUCUACAUCAGUUGGAUUGUAUCAACGUUUGGCCUUUCUUAAACCUCCUACUCUGGUGUCCAAAGGACAGAUUUCUGUCCCAGAGCAGAUAUGAAUGUUACAAGGGGAGUGUUUGAUAGACAAAGGACCCCAUGUUACUUCUGCAGUUGAAACUAGCCUCUGUAUAAGGAAUUAAAAGACUAUGAGAAGAAAGUAAUGAUGGAGACAUUAUUCUCCCUAUUGUCAUGGAUCAAUGGCAUCAUCUGGGGAUUAGGCCAAUGGCUGCUUUGAAGGAAUAUUUUAUAAAGUAGACAUUAUCAGUGAUGAAUUUGAGUGUGAGUUGAAAUGGAAGUAUAGUAAAGUGGUAAGACUCCUUGAUGAAUCAAUGUUUGGUGUAAGGAAAGAGGAAGAGAGAGGCAAGAUAAUAUGAAAAUCUGAUGGCUGAUAGAGGUGGAGAGCCAACAUCACAGCUCAGGGAUGAGUAUGAUGUAUCACUGAAUUCUCCCUGUUGGCCUGUGACAGCAUUUGUGGUUGGAGAAAUGAGAAGUGAAAGAAAAACUCACGC